rfam:Desulfotomaculum gibsoniae DSM 7213, complete genome.
UCACUGGUAACGGUGGGGUCUGAAGGAAGCCGAAGGGGGAACUUGGAACAUAGCGCAAGCGAACCGGUGAUGGCCUAUCAGGUGGGUAACCUUGCAAGUUGUGGGAAAGCCCGAAAACUGGAAAUAAAACAGAUUGCUAUGUUGGUCAUGGUUUUUUUGC